rnacentral:misc_RNA from 1 species
UCGUGUCGCCUGCUCGUGCGACGCGCUCUGGACCUUCGCGGCCAUAAAAUCCGGCGCACACCUAACCGCUCGCUCGGCGGUGUAGUGUGCCCGGUGGCCCCGUGGUCUUAAGCACAAGCCGCGCCGUUGUCCGUGUUCGUCUCGGGACGUCCGCGACGCCGCCUUGCUCUCGGCGGCGGCCAAAUUUCCUCUCCGUCACCGCUAUGCGGGACCCGGCUCGCUCUCGCUAACGGGCCCGCUUAUAACGAGCUCCAGGGUGACUGCGGAGGGGAGAAGCUUACGCUGACGCUGACGCUCACGCUCGCUCGACGAGUCGGCGCCCGUACGAAAAAAGUUUGUGGAAUUCUCCACUCUUUAUUUCCGACCUCAGAUCGGACGAGAUUAC